UAACGCGUAUGCAACUUGCCUAUCAGAGGGGGAUAACCCGGCGAAAGUCGGACUAAUACCGCAUGAAGCAGGGAUCCCGCAUGGGAAUAUUUGCUAAAGAUUCAUCGCUGAUAGAUAGGCAUGCGUUCCAUUAGGCAGUUGGCGGGGUAACGGCCCACCAAACCGACGAUGGAUAGGGGUUCUGAGAGGAAGGUCCCCCACAUUGGUACUGAGACACGGACCAAACUCCUACGGGAGGCAGCAGUGAGGAAUAUUGGUCAAUGGCCGAGAGGCUGAACCAGCCAAGUCGCGUGAGGGAUGAAGGUUCUAUGGAUCGUAAACCUCUUUUAUAAGGGAAUAAAGUGCGGGACGUGUCCCGUUUUGUAUGUACCUUAUGAAUAAGGAUCGGCUAACUCCGUGCCAGCAGCCGCGGUAAUACGGAGGAUCCGAGCGUUAUCCGGAUUUAUUGGGUUUAAAGGGUGCGUAGGCGGCCUUUUAAGUCAGCGGUGAAAGUCUGUGGCUCAACCAUAGAAUUGCCGUUGAAACUGGGGGGCUUGAGUAUGUUUGAGGCAGGCGGAAUGCGUGGUGUAGCGGUGAAAUGCAUAGAUAUCACGCAGAACCCCGAUUGCGAAGGCAGCCUGCCAAGCCAUUACUGACGCUGAUGCACGAAAGCGUGGGGAUCAAACAGGAUUAGAUACCCUGGUAGUCCACGCAGUAAACGAUGAUCACUAGCUGU
rnacentral:rRNA from 1 species